rnacentral:lncRNA from 1 species
UGAAAUAGUAAUGGGGUUCUUCCUUUUGGAAUUUUUUCUUUAGAGGUAGCCCGAGCCACAGCAGAAAGGCUCGAUGGUCAAGUCAUCGCAGAGUAUUUGAUGCCCUGCUCUUUGGAUGCAGGCACUGGGCUACCCAAGGAAAUGGUGCCAGAGAGGGCAAAUGAUGCAGGCAUUGAUGCCUUUGACAUGCCCGACAUUGAUGCCUUUGACAUGCCCUGUAGUGAGCAGGA